rnacentral:rRNA from 1 species
GGGUGGUAAUGCCGGAUGCUCCAUCACACCGCAUGGUGUGUUGGGAAAGCCUUUGCGGCAUGGGAUGGGGUCGCGUCCUAUCAGCUUGAUGGCGGGGUAACGGCCCACCAUGGCUUCGACGGGUAGCCGGCCUGAGAGGGCGACCGGCCACAUUGGGACUGAGAUACGGCCCAGACUCCUACGGGAGGCAGCAGUGGGGAAUAUUGCACAAUGGGCGCAAGCCUGAUGCAGCGACGCCGCGUGAGGGAUGGAGGCCUUCGGGUUGUAAACCUCUUUUGUUAGGGAGCAAGGCAUUUUGUGUUGAGUGUACCUUUCGAAUAAGCACCGGCUAACUACGUGCCAGCAGCCGCGGUAAUACGUAGGGUGCAAGCGUUAUCCGGAAUUAUUGGGCGUAAAGGGCUCGUAGGCGGUUCGUCGCGUCCGGUGUGAAAGUCCAUCGCUUAACGGUGGAUCCGCGCCGGGUACGGGCGGGCUUGAGUGCGGUAGGGGAGACUGGAAUUCCCGGUGUAACGGUGGAAUGUGUAGAUAU